UUUCUGUUUCUUUUUCAGUUAUCUAACCUGCUAGCUAGUCUCAGGACAAACAUAACCAGUGCUGUUCUGCCCGUUUUCUUUGUUUUCUGUCAUAUUCUCCCCUCUUGAUUUCUGCCUUAUUCCCUCCUUUAUUUUUCCUCUGGUUUCUGCAGACCUUUGAAUAUUGGUUUGCAAUGGUGUUGAGAUUUCAGAGGACAACAUCGAAUUAGCAGUUACAGCUGAGUCUACUUGUACUUACAAAGAACUUAAGCAUGUUGCUUGUGAGUGAGCAGUUUGGAAGGAAAUUUGAAGAAGACUGAAACCUAACUGAACUAAAGCCCACCAUUUUUCAUCCUUGAGCAAUUUCAGAUUUUAUUACAUGUUUUUAAAUUAAUCUAAAACUGGUUGUGUUGCCCCCUCUGUGGUAUUUGUCAUUUCAUAAAUAAGUUUAAAUACAGAAAAAUUACAGUAAAUACAUUCGAACAAAGAAGUCUCUAUUGAAGUUCAUUUUUGGAGAGAUUGUCAUCGUUGACACUAUGUUACACUUAGAAUAACUUACUCUGAGAAUUAGAACUGAAGAUGCUGCUACAUGUAAUAAAUCACUUCUUACCUUUA